rnacentral:rRNA from 1 species
UGGGGAAUUUUGGACAAUGGGCGAAAGCCUGAUCCAGCAAUGCCGCGUGUGUGAAGAAGGCCUUCGGGUUGUAAACACUUUUGUCCGGAAAGAAAUCCUUGGCUCUAAUACAGUCGGGGGAUGACGGUACCGGAAGAAUAAGCACCGGCUAACUACGUGCCAGCAGCCGCGGUAAUACGUAGGGUGCAAGCGUUAAUCGGAAUUACUGGGCGUAAAGCGUGCGCAGGCGGUUUGCUAAGACCGAUGUGAAAUCCCCGGGCUCAACCUGGGAACUGCAUUGGUGACUGGCAGGCUAGAGUAUGGCAGAGGGGGGUAGAAUUCCACGUGUAGCAGUGAAAUGCGUAGAGAUGUGGAGGAAUACCGAUGGCGAAGGCAGCCCCCUGGGCCAAUACUGACGCUCAUGCACGAAAGCGUGGGGGAGCAAAACAGGAUUAGAUACCCUGGUAGUCCACGCCCUAAACGAUGUCAACUAGUUGUUGGGGAUUCAUUUCCUUAGUAACGUAGCUAACGCGUGAAGUUGACCGCCUGGGGAGUACGGUCGCAAGAUUAAAACUUAAAUGAAUUGACGGGGUCAUAGCUG